AGAGUUUGAWCCUGGCUCAGGACGAACGCUGGCGGCGUGCCUAAUACAUGCAAGUCGAGCGAAGUUUUUCUGGUGCUUGCACUAGAAAAACUUAGCGGCGAACGGGUGAGUAACACGUAAAGAACCUGCCUCAUAGACUGGGACAACUAUUGGAAACGAUAGCUAAUACCGGAUAACAGCAUUAACUGCAUGGUUGAUGUUUGAAAGUUGGUUUUGCUAACACUAUGAGAUGGCUUUGCGGUGCAUUAGCUAGUUGGUGGGGUAAAGGCCUACCAAGGCGACGAUGCAUAGCCGACCUGAGAGGGUGAUCGGCCACACUGGGACUGAGACACGGCCCAGACUCCUACGGGAGGCAGCAGUAGGGAAUCUUCCGCAAUGGGCGAAAGCCUGACGGAGCAACGCCGCGUGAGUGAAGAAGGAUUUCGGUUCGUAAAGCUCUGUUGUUAGGGAAGAAUGAUUAUGUAGUAACUAUACAUAGUAGAGACGGUACCUAACCAGAAAGCCACGGCUAACUACGUGCCAGCAGCCGCGGUAAUA
rnacentral:rRNA from 1 species